ACCGCCCCCAAAUCUGGAGAGAGAGGUGAAUCCAUAAAACUACAGCCAUAUCUGCUUACUGCAGCAGAAGCCCCUGGAGUCAUAACUGCCUCCCACUGAUGCCUGGCAUUAAUGAAUAUAUGGUCAUCACUCCUGGCUUUUAGAUAAGAACUGGAGUCCCAGGAAGCCUGUCGACUUUCUCUAAGGUCACACAUGCGAAAGAAGAAAAACAAAAAGGACUGAAGCCCUGAGAAGCUCCUACUCGACAGUGAAGAUGAGGAGGAUGAAGACCUUUAUGAUGAUCUAGUCUCACUUAAUUACUACGGAAAGUCCAUAUGGAAAUACAGCAAGAAGGCAGCCAUCUACUAUCCAUCUACGAGGAAGAGAGGCGGCUUCACCAGAACCGAGUCUGACAGCACCUUGAUCUUGGACUCCUAGCCUCCAGAACUAUAUACACAAGUUACAGGGGCAAUAUCAAGUACAAAGAUGAUCACACAAACACCAAAUUACCAAGCGAUUGCACAAAAUCACUACUAUGAGAAGCACUGAAGAAAACAAAUUUAAAAACCCCAGUAUCUAAAGAAACAGAAUAACAAAGCUGAUGAUAUUUUUAAAAAGCUUGAUAUCUUCAUAAAGGUAGGAAAGUAUAUCUAUUAUAUGUUGAUUGGGAUAGAUUAUUGCGAAAGGGAAUAGAUAAGAGACGUGAAGAGAAAAAAUUUGAUUAUCCAAAAAACAAAAAUAAACAACAAAAAAAGAUUUGAGAUUAGCUAAACUGCCGAAUGAACACAACAGAGGAGAGAAUGAGUUGAAGAAUUCUCCCAGAGUGUAGCACAGGACAACAGGUGUAAAAGUACACAAGGAAAGUAAGACAGGACUGAAGUUACAUCAGGUAAGAAAAGCAUAUGGAGAAUAGAUCUAGAAGUUACAACACCUGUAUAAAUUCCCAAAGGAGAGAACAGAGGAAAAAGAGAAGAUAAAUCAGUCAAAGAAACUGUAGGGAAACAUUCUGCAGAGCUGAAGAAAUGUACAAGUCUUCAGAUUCAAAGAGGUCACCAGCGGUGAGUGAAAUGAAUAAGAGAAAACUCAAACCUGGCACACUGUCAGAAAUCUCAGAACACUAAAAUUAAAAAGAAAAAUUCUAAAAGCUUCAAGAGAUGGAAAAAAACAACAACCUUAUAAAAACAUUAGAUUGGCUUCAGAUUUCUCAUUGACAACACUGAACACUAGAAGCUAAUGGAGCAAUGUCUCAAAAUUUCCCAGGGAAAAUAAAUUUUCUUUGAACUCCAUAUUGCCAAACCCUAGAUAAGAUUAUCUCUUUGCUUUUCUCAGGAAGACUUCACCUUCCAAGCACAACUCUUCCUUGCUAAGAAAGCAGCAAAUUCCAUUUUUGUGUCAGCUAUUCAGUGGUGGCUUCUUCCUUUUACACUAGGAAUAUCAUGUAAAAGGUAAAAAUGUUUAAAAAGAAAAAGCAAAUGAAGGAGUUGAAAUUUUUCUUGGUGUAGCAUGCAGAGCUCUGUAAAAGUUUUAUUGAGAUAUUUAGUAUAGGCCUUGAGGCUAAAGUAGAUCUGCUGACCUUUCCCUGAAUCUAAAUUUUGGAACCACAUGCUGAAGAGACAUAUGCUAUUUCCACAGGUCGGGCUGUGGGCCUACUUACCCACCUACUGAUCUUGAGUGAGGACUUCCUCUAAGAAGUAAUUCAUGCCCAGAUGGACUUACUGCAUGACAGAAGGAAACACCUAGAGAAAAAUAAGUCCUGAUUUCCUGCCUUUGAGGUGAAGCAAUCCCAACCACUACUAAAGAGGGGUGGAUGAAUAUCUUGGCUUCUGACCAAUUAGGUCAGCAACUUCUCCAGCUAUGAGUAAAUUGGGAAUGAAACAGGGGAUAGCAAGAGGCCAGUUUGACAGGGGGAUUGUAGAAGUACUUCAACUCCCCAAAACAAAUAUCAGUGUUUCUGAGGUUGAUUUGUCAUUGCCUCGAUAGCAGGAUGUGUGGCUGGGGUCUGGAGAUGAAAGCAGAAGUACAUGAUGCAGAGAUUGGCUUCUUUCAUAGCGAUGCCAGGAGAGAUGUGUGGAGAGCUCCUGGAAGGGAGGGGUUCCAUUCAAAACAAUUCAAUCCUCUAAAUGCAAACGGAGGACAUUUGUAGAAAGAGGGAAACCAAGAACGUCCGAGUCAAUAAUGCAAAAUCGCAUGUGAGGCUUAGAGAAACCAGAAAGAGCACAGACAGAAGGAAAUCAGAGUAGGGAAGGGGGAAGAAGUCAGGGUGCCAAUAAACAGAAAUGUGGAGUAAGGUCCUGCUUCUGCACAUUGGGAUUCAGGACUGUAAGACAGAGUUCUAAACUCUGGUGACCUGUGUGUGGUUGAGGUCAGCUGUUAGAGCCCUGGAGCACCAGGCUCCCAGUUUUUGACCACUUAGAAAUUAGGAGGUUCAGUGCCUGCCUGGGAAAAUUCUUGGGCAGAUUCUUCUUUAAGAGUGACUGGGUAGUAAAUGGUUAUCAGGAUUAUACUUCCUUGACUGGAAAAUAUUUACACAGCUUUUUUCUCUGAAAGUAUAGAUAGAGACAUUAUUUUUAUUUCAGGUAAAGAAUUAACAGCACCUAAUAAGGAAAGAAUGGAGAAUGAAUAUUCAGUUUGAUGUUGAAAUAAAGGAGAGUGCAGUGCAUAUAGUUAAGAGAUACUCUGAGUGCCAAAUUAAUGUCUGGUUCUUUUUCUUCUUCUAAACAAAAACCCAGGAAGAUACACUGAGUUGGUCUGAAUGCACUAAAGAGCCAAACUAAGCAUAUCCAAGCAGGUGGCUGGGUAUGUGGGUGAAAUUUAAAUGAUUUUUGACCUUCAAACCACUAAAUGAAGGAUAAUGGAAAUGUCUAUUAGAAGUAGGUUAACAAAAAAGACUAAGGUGAAAUUAAACAAAUUGCUGAUAACUGCUGAAACUCAGCAAGAGAACUGUACUGGUAGUCUGACUGUACAUUGAAACAUUCCUUAAGAUGCAAACAGAUGGUAAUAACUUUUCUUUUUUAAGGAAUUAUAUUUUCAUGAAGACAUUUAUACUGACUAGGUCACUGCCCUAAGUCUUGAUUGGUUAUCUACUGCUAGGGACAGACCUGCAGGAUAUUCAUGUACCAUUAAAAAGCUACCAAGUGAUUUUUGACAAAGGUGCAAGAGCAAUUCAAAGGAGAAAAGAUAGCCUUUUCAACAAAUGGUGCUGGAGCAACUGGACGGCCAUAGGCAAGAAAAGUGAACUUCAACCUAAACCUACACCUUAUACAAAAAAUUAACUCAAAAUGGAUCAUGGACUUAAGUGGAGAACAUAAAACUAUAUGUUUUAGAAAACAAUAGGGAGAAGUUCUGGAUCUAUGGCUGGCAAAGAGUUCUUAAGUUGGACACUAAAAAUACAGUCCAUGAAAGCAAAAAUCAAUCAGAUUGCACUUGAUCAAAAUGGGAAACUUUUGCUUUGUGAAAGAUAUUGUCAUGUUAAAAGCAUGAAAAGGCAAGCUACAAGCUGCAGAGUGGGAGAAAAUAUUCACAGACUACCUAUCUGACAAAGGUCUAGUAUCUAGGAUAUAAAGAAUUCUCAAAAUUCAACAGCAAAAUACCAAAACAAUCUAAUUAUGAAGUGGGUAAAACACAUGAACAGACAUUUCACGGAAGAUGAUAUGCAGAUGGCAAAUAAGUAAAUGAAAAGGUGUCUCGCAUCAUUAGCUAUUGGGAAAUGCAAAUUAUAACCACAAUGAGCUAUAACUACACAUCUAUCAGAAUGGCUAAAAUAAAAAUAGUGACAACACCAAAUGCUGGCAAGCCUGGGAAGAAACUGGAUCACUCAUACACUGCUGCUUGGAAUGUAAAAUGAUGCAGUCACUCUGGAAAACAGUUUGACAGUUUCUUAUAAAGCUAAACAUGCAAUUAUCAUAUGACCCCUAUAAUUGUACUCCUGGGUAUUUAUCCUGGAGAAAUAAAAACUUUGUGUUUUCACAAAAACUUGUGCACACAUAUUCAUAGAUUUAUUUGUAAUAGCCCCAAACUGGAAGUAACCUGGAUGUCUUUCAAUAAGUGAAUGGUUAAACUGUGGUAAGUUCAUGUCAUGGAAUACUUAAGCCAAAAAAAAAAAAAAAGGAAUAAACUCUUGAUGCACACACAAUUUAGAAAGAUCUCUGGAGAAUUAUAUUGAUUAAAAGCCAAUCUCUAAAGACUAUGUACUGUGUGAUUCAAUUUAUAUGACAUUUUUGAAAUAACAAAAUUGUAGAGAUGGA
rnacentral:lncRNA from 1 species